GGUUGCGAUCAUACCAGCACUAAUGCCCCGGAUCCCAUCAGAACUCCGCAGUUAAGCGUGCUUGGGCGAGAGUAGUACUAGGAUGGGUGACCCCCUGGGAAGUCCUCGUGUUGCAACCCC
rnacentral:rRNA from 1 species